UAAGACAGAGGGUGCAAACGUUGUUCGGAUUUACUGGGCGUAAAGCGCGUGUAGGCGGCUUGGCAAGUCGGAUGUGAAAGCCCACGGCUCAACCGUGGAAGCGCAUCCGAAACUGCUUCGCUCGAGUCUCGGAGAGGAAGGUGGAAUGCUUGGUGUAGAGGUGAAAUUCGUAGAUAUCAAGCAGAACACCUGCGGCGAAGGCGGCCUUCUGGACGAUGACUGACGCUGAGACGCGAAAGCGUGGGGAGCAAACAGGAUUAGAUACCCUGGUAGUCCACGCCGUAAACGAUGAGUGCUAGGUGUCACGGGCUUUGACCCUCGUGGUGCCGUAGCUAACGCAAUAAGCACUCCGCCUGGGGAGUACGGUCGCAAGACUA
rnacentral:rRNA from 1 species